UGGUCACCUCUCUUCCAGUGGCCUCCUCUUCCUAAUUGGCCUCUCUGUCCCAAAGUUUUUUUCCUCUCCCAUUUAUCCCCCUGUGCCAGUGCAGUCUUCCCAGAGCUUAGCACCAAGCUGCCACCUGCCCAGCCAUUGGCUCAUUGUCUGGAAUACUCUCCCUCCAGCCUUUUCCUGGUUCACUCCUAAUUAUCUCUGCUAUCACAGCUUGGUCUCCAAGUCCUUCUCCUGUGUGCUGCCUCAACAACCAAGGCAUCCUCCAGAAUCCUGCCUAUCAGCCUGUAGGAGAAGGAGGAGAAGAAGGAAGGAUACAGGAUGAGAAUCAGAGGAUGAAAAAGAACAGAUAGGGCCCCAGAGAGGAGAGAUGGAAGCACACAGAUGGAGAGAAGUUGAAAGACAGAGAGAAAGAAGUGGGAUGAGAGCCUGGAAUAAAGUGGCUCCACCAUGAGAAGAGCAGGACCCUUCAGUGUGGGCCCCGUCUGAGUCCAACCCACAUGCACAAGCCACCCAGCUGAACUUGG
rnacentral:lncRNA from 1 species